ACCCAGUCGACGAGUUCCAAACAGGACGAAAUGCUCGUCCUAGAU
rnacentral:hammerhead_ribozyme from 1 species